GCUCUGUCUGGGUGAGUUCUAUUGCUUUGUCUUCCAGCUCUCUGAUGCAUUCUUCAGCUUCAUCCAGUCUGCUGUUGAAACCCUCUAGUGUAUUUUUCAGUUCAGUUAUUGUAUUCUUCAGCUCUGUGAUUUCUAAUUGUU